rnacentral:rRNA from 1 species
UAAUACAUCGGAACAUGUCCUGUAGUGGGGGAUAGCCCGGCGAAAGCCGGAUUAAUACCGCAUACGAUCUACGGAUGAAAGCGGGGGACCUUCGGGCCUCGCGCUAUAGGGUUGGCCGAUGGCUGAUUAGCUAGUUGGUGGGGUAAAGGCCUACCAAGGCGACGAUCAGUAGCUGGUCUGAGAGGACGACCAGCCACACUGGGACUGAGACACGGCCCAGACUCCUACGGGAGGCAGCAGUGGGGAAUUUUGGACAAUGGGCGAAAGCCUGAUCCAGCAAUGCCGCGUGUGUGAAGAAGGCCUUCGGGUUGUAAAGCACUUUUGUCCGGAAAGAAAUCCUUGGCCCUAAUACGGUCGGGGGAUGACG